rnacentral:rRNA from 1 species
UACGUAGGGUGCAAGCGUUGUCCGGAAUCAUUGGGCGUAAAGAGCGUGUAGGCGGCUCGGUAAGUCCGCUCUGAAAGCCCGGGGCUCAACCCCGGGAGGCGGGCGGAUACUGUCGGGCUAGAGUCCGGAAGAGGCGAGUGGAAUUCCUGGUGUAGCGGUGAAAUGCGCGGAUAUCAGGAGGAACACCAAUGGCGAAGGCAGCUCGCUGGGACGGUACUGACGCUGAGACGCGAAAGCGUGGGGAGCAAACAGG